GAUGCCGUAGCCUAGUGGUUAAGGCGAUAGACUAGAAAUCUUUAGGAUAUUCCCGCGCAGGUUCGAAUCCUGCCGACGACG
rnacentral:tRNA from 1 species